UGCUGCCCCCUCACCCCCAGCCUAUCUACUAAAAUUGGAAUGACACAGAGAAGAUUAGCAUGGCCCUGCAUAAGGAUGACUCAAAUUUGUGGUGUUCCCUUGCUCA
rnacentral:snRNA from 1 species